UGAGGAAUAUUGCGCAAUGGGGGAAACCCUGACGCAGCAACGCCGCGUGGAGGACGAAGGUUUUCGGAUUGUAAACUCCUUAACUGGGGGAAGAGAGAGGACGGUACCCCAGGACGAAGACACGGCUAACUAGGUG
rnacentral:rRNA from 1 species